UACGGAGGGUGCAAGCGUUAUCCGGAUUCACUGGGUUUAAAGGGUGCGUAGGCGGGCAGGUAAGUCCGUGGUGAAAUCUCUGAGCUUAACUCAGAAACUGCCAUGGAUACUAUUUGUCUUGAAUGUUGUGGAGGUAAGCGGAAUAUGUCAUGUAGCGGUGAAAUGCUUAGAUAUGACAUAGAACACCAAUUGCGAAGGCAGCUUGCUACACAAAUAUUGACGCUGAGGCACGAAAGCGUGGGGAGCAAACAGG
rnacentral:rRNA from 1 species